rnacentral:rRNA from 1 species
GUGUAGCAAUACACGAGUGGCGCACGGGUGAGUAACGCGUGGAUAUCUGCCUUUUGGUUCGGAAUAACCCCGGGAAACUGGGGCUAAUACCGGAUGGUUCCUACGGGAUAAAGAUUUAUCGCCAAAAGAUGAGUCCGCGUACGAUUAGCUAGUUGGUGAGGUAAUGGCUCACCAAGGCGACGAUCGUUAGCUGGUCUGAGAGGACGAUCAGCCACACUGGGACUGAGACACGGCCCAGACUCCUACGGGAGGCAGCAGUGGGGAAUAUUGGACAAUGGGGGCAACCCUGAUCCAGCCAUGCCGCGUGAGUGAUGAAGGCCUUCGGGUUGUAAAGCUCUUUUGGCGGGGACGAUGAUGACGGUACCCGCAGAAUAAGCCCCGGCUAACUUCGUGCCAGCAGCCGCGGUAAGACGAAGGGGGCUAGCGUUGUUCGGAAUUACUGGGCGUAAAGCGUGUGUAGGUGGUUGUCAUAGUCAGGUGUGAAAGCCUUGAGCUCAACUCAAGAAAUGCACUUGAUACUGGGCGACUAGAGGACCGGAGAGGAUAGUGGAAUUCCCAGUGUAGUGGUGAAAUACGUAGAGAUUGGGAAGAACACCAGUGGCGAAGGCGGCUAUCUGGACGGUUCUGACACUAAGAC